rnacentral:rRNA from 1 species
GACGAACGCUGGCGGCGUGCUUAACACAUGCAAGUCGAACGGAAAGGCCCUGCUUUUGUGUGGUGCUCGAGUGGCGAACGGGUGAGUAACACGUGAGUAACCUUCCCUUGACUUUGGGAUAACUUCAGGAAACUGGUGCUAAUACCUGAUAGGUGCUCCUGCUGCAUGGUGGGGGUUGGAACGUUUCGGCGGAGGUGGGUGGAUGCGGGGCUUAUCAGCUGGUUGGUGGGGUAGUGGCUUACCAAGGCUUUGACGGGUAGCCGGCCUGGGAGGUUGACCAGGCACAUUGGGACUGAGAUAGGGCCCAGACGCCUACGGGAGGCAGCAGGGGGGAAUAUUGCACAAUGGGCGGAAGCCUGAUGCAGCAACGCUGCGUGCGGGAUGACGGCCUUCGGGUUGUAAACCGCAUUCGCCUGUGACGAAGCGUGAGUGACGGUAAUGGGUAAAGAAGCACCGGCUAACUACGUG